rnacentral:rRNA from 1 species
GACGAACGCUGGCGGCGUGCUUAACACAUGCAAGUCGAACGGAAAGGCCCUGCUUUUGUGGGGUGCUCGAGUGGCGAACGGGUGAGUAACACGUGAGUAACCUGCCCUUGACUUUGGGAUAACUUCAGGAAACUGGGGCUAAUACCGGAUAGGAGCUCCUGCUGCAUGGUGGGGGUUGGAAAGUUUCGGCGGUUGGGGAUGGACUCGCGGCUUAUCAGCUUGUUGGUGGGGUAGUGGCUUACCAAGGCUUUGACGGGUAGCCGGCCUGAGAGGGUGACCGGGCACAUUGGGACUGAGAUAAGGCCCAGACUCCUACGGGAGGCAGCAGUGGGGAAUAUUGCACAAUGGGCGGAAGCCUGAUGCAGCAACGCCGCGUGCGGGAUGACGGCCUUCGGGUUGUAAACCGCUUUCGCCUGUGACGAAGCGUGAGUGACGGUAAUGGGUAAAGAAGCACCGGCUAACUACGUG